UUACGGCCACAUCACGUUGAAACAUCGGUUCCCGUAUGAUCACCGAAGUUAAGCAACGUCGAGGUUGGUUCGUACCGAGAUGGGUGACCGCUUGGGAAUACCAGGUGCU